AGAGUUUGAUCAUGGCUCAGAUUGAACGCUGGCGGCAGGCUUAACACAUGCAAGUCGAGCGGGCGAGGUUGCUUCGGUAACUGAGCUAGCGGCGGACGGGUGAGUAAAGCUUAGGAAUCUGCCUAUUAGUGGGGGACAACAUUUCGAAAGGGAUGCUAAUACCGCAUACGUCCUACGGGAGAAAGCAGGGGACCUUCGGGCCUUGCGCUAAUAGAUGAGCCUAAGUCGGAUUAGCUAGUUGGUGGGGUAAAGGCCUACCAAGGCGACGAUCUGUAGCGGGUCUGAGAGGAUGAUCCGCCACACUGGGACUGAGACACGGCCCAGACUCCUACGGGAGGCAGCAGUGGGGAAUAUUGGACAAUGGGGGGAACCCUGAUCCAGCCAUGCCGCGUGUGUGAAGAAGGCCUUUUGGUUGUAAAGCACUUUAAGUGGGGAGGAGGCUCUCUUGGUUAAUACCUAAGAAGAGUGGACGUUACCCACAGAAUAAGCACCGGCUAACUCUGUGCCAGCAGCCGCGGUAAUACAGAGGGUGCGAGCGUUAAUCGGAUUUACUGGGCGUAAAGCGCGCGUAGGUGGUUAAUUAAGUCAAAUGUGAAAUCCCCGAGCUUAACUUGGGAAUUGCAUUCGAUACUGGUUAGCUAGAGUAUGGGAGAGGAUGGUAGAAUUCCAGGUGUAGCGGUGAAAUGCGUAGAGAUCUGGAGGAAUACCGAUGGCGAAGGCAGCCAUCUGGCCUAAUACUGACACUGAGGUGCGAAAGCAUGGGGAGCAAACAGGAUUAGAUACCCUGGUAGUCCAUGCCGUAAACGAUGUCUACUAGCCGUUGGGGGAUUUGAUCCUUUAGUGGCGCAGCUAACGCGAUAAGUAGACCGCCUGGGGAGUACGGUCGCAAGACUAAAACUCAAAUGAAUUGACGGGGGCCCGCACAAGCGGUGGAGCAUGUGGUUUAAUUCGAUGCAACGCGA
rnacentral:rRNA from 1 species